AGUUUCUGAAGUUUCUGUUUCUCUUAUGUGUGCCAUGCACUUAUGGGUCUUUAAACACUACUGUUAAUGUAAGGCAUAAGACAUAAGUAGUUAAUGUAGGAAUGUAAGACAAGUAAACUGCCCAAGUUAAAUUUACAUUGGUGACAUGUAGGAUACUGUAGGCCAUAUAAGUAAACAAGGUGACUUAGUUCUCUUAGCCUGAGUAGGUAGUGAACAUUAAUUCCAAAGACCUAGUAAAGUUUCUGUUUUCUACCUAACAUUAUCAGGACUCGUGGAAGAUAGCGCUCGGAAACAAAUUCAAGAAUGCAAGGAGGCAUAUGACAGGAGAUGAGCGCCUAAAGGAGAAUAGACAGAAGUUUGCCACAAAGAAGACAUCCACAAGGGAAUUGGAUGACAAACUCCGAAGGAACAAGAAGGCGAAGAUGGGAGGGAGCGUUCCAAUAACACCCUGUAUUUUGUACGAUGGGGCUGAUCUUCCAUAUGCAAGGAACCUUUCGCUCCAUGCAGACAAAGAACUCAUGUUCCGUAUGUCGAACGGUGAAGAAAGGGUACUUGUACUGAUGUCAGCACAUUGGCUCCUGAAUGUAGAGUACGCCCGGAAGGCCUUCAACGUUCUUGUGACCAUGGAAUGGCUGCUACUCGGUCAGCGAUCAACCUCACCAAGAACACCAGUUGUUAAGCUGUUGAACGUUUUCAAAAAAGCUACAAAAUAGGCCUUAGCUUCCGCAGGGACAAAAUCCAAAAAACAUAUAUUGAAAACACAAAUAACUACUCAAUGCAUGAUGAAAAUAUUACUGUUAGUAUAAAUUCAAUUUUAUCGCGUGUGGUACAUGUGACACAUGUGACAAAAUCUAGUUUAUACAAAAGUAAUCUUUUCAUCAUGUAAUGUGUAGUUAUUUGUUUUUGAAUAUACAGAAAAGAUUACUGUAGUGAUACUGGCACUUCAUUUCAACUUAUUUUUUGCUCCAGUUUCUUGUGACAUGUUAUGAGUCAUUUUGUUCCUGCGGAUUUUCAGCAUGUUCUCACAGGUCUUUUUGACUCAGUGCUCUGUGACUUUUUUGCAGCAUGUAUAGUAACCUUGAUCAUUUGCUGAAAUUUUAGCAUAACAAAACUGCCAGUACUUGUCAGUAAAAUCAGUGUAUCGACUAUUGUUUUGGAAUUUAUGUUAGUUUUAUGACAAUCUUUUAGUUUUGCAACGAUUUUUCUUAAAACAAAUAAAUACUCAUAUUUCAUUCAA
rnacentral:lncRNA from 1 species